GAUGAACGCUGGCGGCGUGCCUAACACAUGCAAGUCGAACGGAGUCGUUUUGGAAAUCUCUUCGGAGAUGGAAUUCUCGACUUAGUGGCGGACGGGUGAGUAACGCGUGAGCAAUCUGCCUUUAAGAGGGGGAUAACAGUCGGAAACGGCUGCUAAUACCGCAUAAAGCAUUAAAUUCGCAUGUUUUUGAUGCCAAAGGAGCAAUCCGCUUUUAGAUGAGCUCGCGUCUGAUUAGCUAGUUGGCGGGGUAACGGCCCACCAAGGCGACGAUCAGUAGCCGGACUGAGAGGUUGAACGGCCACAUUGGGACUGAGACACGGCCCAGACUCCUACGGGAGGCAGCAGUGGGGAAUAUUGCGCAAUGGGGGAAACACUGACGCAGCAACGCCGCGUGAUUGAAGAAGGCCUUCGGGUUGUAAAGAUCUUUAAUCAGGGACGAAACAAAUGACGGUACCUGAAGAAUAAGCUCCGGCUAACUACGUG
rnacentral:rRNA from 1 species